UUCGGGUCUAGUGGCGCACGGGUGCGUAACGCGUGGGAACCUGCCCUUAGGUUCGGAAUAACUCAGAGAAAUUUGAGCUAAUACCGGAUAAUGUCUUCGGACCAAAGAUUUAUCGCCUUUGGAUGGGCCCGCGUUGGAUUAGCUAGUUGGUGGGGUAAAGGCCUACCAAGGCGACGAUCCAUAGCUGGUCUGAGAGGAUGAUCAGCCACACUGGGACUGAGACACGGCCCAGACUCC
rnacentral:rRNA from 1 species